rnacentral:rRNA from 1 species
UCGCACGGUCGGCGCAAGUCGGCAGUGGCGGACGGGUGAGGAACGCGUAGGAACGUGUCCAGGGGUGGGGGAUAACGCUGGGAAACUGGCGCUAAUACCGCAUGUGAGCUGAGGCUCAAAGCCGAGAGGCGCCUUUGGAGCGGCCUGCGUCCGAUUAGGUAGUUGGUGGGGUAAUGGCCUACCAAGCCUGCGAUCGGUAGCUGGUCUGAGAGGACGACCAGCCACACUGGGACUGAGACACGGCCCAGACUCCUACGGGAGGCAGCAGUGGGGAAUAUUGGACAAUGGGCGCAAGCCUGAUCCAGCAAUGCCGCGUGGGUGAAGAAGGUCUUCGGAUUGUAAAGCCCUUUCGACAGGGACGAUGAUGACGGUACCUGUAGAAGAAGCCCCGGCUAACUUCGUGCCAGCAGCCGCGGUAAUACGAAGGGGGCUAGCGUUG